GGAGAACGGAAACUCUUUGAGGGCAGAGACUUUUUGUUUGGUGUUAGUAUUCUUUGAACCUAGUGUAUAUUGGAGAUCAAGUCUACUAGAUCAUGUUUGUAUCCAUGAAAAAUUAAGAGAAAAGGAGCCACAUUUUGAGUUUUAUUAGGAACUUCUUGGAGUCAAGAGACAAGUUGCAGUGGUAGAAGCAGCCAUGAGUGAAGAUUAUCUAACAGAGAUUAUGGAUAAAGGAACUUAGGAAACCAGUUAUUGAAGAUGAGUAGUGCACUGUCUGCAGAAGAAGUUCCUGUACUACUACUCAGCAUGAGUAGAAGAUCGAAGAACUCUCCCCUAAGCCAGACUUGAAAAGCUUUCAUCUAUCUUAUUACCUUUGUGCAAUGGGAGAAUUGGGGGA